AAGACCUCAUGUUUCCUGUGUCUAGCAUGAACUCUAUGAACUCUUACAGGAAAUUUCUUAGUUCUUUUCUGACUUACUUCACCCCCUUUCCCAGACACUUUUAUGGUCAAGAGAGAACUAAUGCACCCCCAAAUUAUGUGUCAGUUCCUGUGAUCCUACAAAAAUUCCUUCAUUUUUCCCCUUCUCCAGAAAGUAGAGUGAGGCUGAGCCUGGGAAGGCUGACAUCUGGGCUCCAGAGAGAUUUCCCAUCAGCAGGAUUCCCAGAGAUGUGGACAACAUAAUAACAGAAAAACUUUCACGGUCCACUUCUUCCCUUCACAGUCACGUAGCUUCCUGCCUCCCCCUCGCUGCUGCAGCAAGUGCUCACACAGAAAAACAGCCUUUGGAGAGGAAUGUAAGUUUAAGUAAACAUAUAGCUGCAAAUUCAAGGUCAGGAGAGUGUUCGUAGCCACCUCUCCAUCCUCUCCCACAAAGUGCUUCAUGCACCAGGAAAAAUCAGGGCAAGAUUGCACAUGCCUGAGUGAGUAGAUUAUGAUAGGAAAUGCUGGCUUAUCUUCUGCUUUACAGCAACACACAUUACAAAUUGUCUGGCAGCUACUCACUCAUUCACUCUCUCUGUAAAUAACUAUUCAAUAAAAUCUGAUAGAACCGUGCGAGGCACCAAAGCCUCCCUGUGAUUUCCUCCAUGCAACCGCCAGGCUGGAAAAUCGAUCAAUUUUCUCUACCUGGAAAAGGGGAAUAAGCCCAAACAAUGGCACGUGAUUAAAGCUGAACAAGAAGCUGUAUUCGUAUCCCACAAAUGCUAAUUAAAAGAGAACCAAAAGAAAUUGUAGUGGGGUGAAAUUACUGAUUUCAGUUGUUGAAGACUUUUGUGAGGAAGCAGUAACAACUACCCCUGCCACAAUAACAGCAGGUAGUCUCAAGCUUUGGGAACUCAAGGGAAAACAUGGCAAAAUAAGCGCUGAAGUCUGCAACCUGCCAUUUGCCAUCACAUAUCUCCAGUGAGCACCUCAGCACAAAUCAGCCAGGGUUCCCGGUACAGGCAUUUAAUUGCAGGUUGUGAGCAGAAAAGUCCAUCCUGGAUUAGACAGAUCUUUUCCUGGUAGAAAUUGCAUGGCAACUGCUAUGUUUUUCCAUGUCCUUUUCUUUGUCUCUGAGGUGAACAUCCUUUUCUACCAAAUGCAGAGGUGAAUGCAGCUCCAUGCUGGCCAAGAGGACCAGGCAGCUCUGAUUAUGUGGCACAGUUCAAAACCUUUCCCUUCACUGGACAGCACUGAUUGGGAUGCAGAGACAGUGUCCUUCUGGAGUCUAGUGAAUCUAUGUUACAACUGAAGACAAUGAGGAUUUUCUCUGAUGAGAAACUCAUUCCCGCACACUGGCCAGUUCUAACAGUGACCUCUAAAUGCUAAGAGAUGAAACAAUGUCUUUGGGAGCUACAGUCUCUUCACCUCACAUGAAUCUUAAAUUUGUUCUUCUUGCAGGAAAAAGAACAAAAAAGAUUCAAAAAAAAAAAUAUCUAUGUAAGUAAUUUAAAGUAUCUUGUCAGGAAUUUGUGCCACACAUUCCUGGGAUUUUGGAAUUGGUGCGAAUGAACAGGGAAGGAGUGAGAUUGAAAAUUAUUUUAAAGGCAGUACAUUGUUUAAAAACAUUAGCAUGAAGCACGUGUGAAUGCAAAACAGCUCAGACCAAGCUGCACAUGAAAAGUGAAAUACAAAGAAAUAUCUUCUAGCCAUUUUGGGCAGCAGUUGACAGCUCUAGCAAUCCUCAUGGCCUUUAAAACACAGACACAAAACGUCACCCGAACAUCCCAUGUCAGCAGAGAAUGACAAAGCCUCAUCUCAGGCAGGGAUGGCACAAAGGACUUCUGACACCUGACUACCUGACUACUGAAAGGAAAGAAGUUCUGAAAAGUAUUCUCAUUUAUCUUCUUUGCUCCUUUUCUUUGCAGAUUGCAGGAUCCUGAAUCACAGGGAAAAGAAGGCAGAUUUCUCAAUUGCCUAUAAGAAAAUGACACCUGAGGCCAGCCUGAUGUAUGCAGGGACAUCUACUAUAUCUGAAGGGAAGCAUUUGGUUCCAAGGGCUGAUAAAUUACAAGUUUGUCUUAAUAAAAUUAAAGCAUUGGUUUUUACCUAUAUUCUUCUUCUUAAAUUUCAGGAAAGGAAGGAAGAAAAAGGAAGGAAAAGGAAGGAAUGGAGGAAGGGAGGCUUAGAAAAUUAUUCCCUUUAAAAGGAUUCUCUUUAAUAAAUAUUAGUAAUAAAUAGUUCUCCCCAUCUACGGCGUCAUUGUCAGGAGCUUCAGGAGCUUCUUAAAACCAACAGACUCAUGCCUGCAUUUAGUUUGUAUGGUGGACAAUAAUAAUUUUACCUCAUUUUACAGAACUGAAAUACACUGAAAUGUUAUGCUGCUUGCAAGGAAACAUGUCAAAACCACAAACUGAAAAAUGCAACUAAAUGCUGCUGAGCUCCACCAACUCAUGCUUACAUGUUAUCACUAUCUCCACAAAAGUGUUAAAAACACCUACUCCUAGAUGAUAAUCUUAAAUGAUUGGUGAUCAUGCAGGGAGAGGAGACAUAUAUAGACCUCACUAGAAAAAGUUAAGGUAAGAAUUAGUUGUGCAUUGGUGGCCAUGGUACCAGCCCAUUUUGUAGUUCUUGCUCCAGAGCAAAAAUAAACUAAAAUAUUUCACUGUUUCACUGAGGAAUCAGCUACCCCAUAUUACUUUACAGAGUUUUACAUGAACUCAUUUCAUUUAUGGGGGGUAAAGAUACACAUGUCGUAUCCUACCCUUUAAACAUGUUUGUAGAAAUAUGUUCAGCAAUAGUAACUGUUUGCCACUAUACCAAUGUAAAUGCAGUCCUGUAGGUUGUUUCUUUAAAUAUAUAUAUAUAUUAAAUAAUAAUAAUAAAAAAAAAAUCAUUGAAA